AACAAUCUUCUCGUCUGUUUCACACAACCGGUCCAAGAGGCACGGCAACAGGCUCCUGAUGUCUUCCCUCUAUGUGCCCAAAGGGAGCAAGCGCAUCACCACCUCUCCCGACAGCACUGCAUCUGGUAUCAAAGUAGGGCUCCCCGCCUUUGCUCAGUGCCCGGUGCUGACUGAAUUUUUGGUAGCACAGUCUAGUCAAGAACAGAGGCCAGCUGGGACGGCGACAUCAGACAUGGUGAGGCCGAUGCUGUGGUGAAUCUGGAUGAGCAGUGUCAUGAGAAGCUGAGGAAAGAGUUGGAACACAGCUUCUCGGAGCUGGUUUCCCAUAAACACCUCAUAGAGGGCAUCUGUUGCCUGUGGUAGAAAAGGCACACAGCAGAGCUGAACAUGGUGGCCCUAAUCCUUAUUGUGGCUUGACUUCUGUCUGUGCCAGAACAUGCUUUCUGGUUCUACUAUCCCAUGGGCAGAACAGUGGUGGUACUCAGUGCAGGGACAUGAAAGUAAGGGGGGGAAGGAAUCAGAGUAAGGUGGUCAUUAAAAGUUACCAGAGAGUGAGAGAGAGCCCUGAAAUCCAGAAGGAAACUAUAAAAGAAACUAUUAACAUAUUUGACUGCAUACAAAUAAAAUGUGGGGGCAAACUUUAUCAUAAACAAAGUUAGAAUACAAAUAACCUGGAAAAGUGUUUGCAUCAAAGUAAUAUUCUUGAUAUAUAAAAUGCUCUCACAUAUCAGUAAGAAAACAAUGUUAAGGCUUACUACUCAAAGUGUGGGCCACGCACCAUUAGCACUGCCAUCAGAAGCUGGUUAGAAAUGGAGAUCGAAAGCCCUGCCCUAGACGGUCGGCUCAGAAUCUGUAUUUCAAUUAGAUCUCUAGGUGACUGUGGUUUGUGUGCAUGUUAAAACAGAGGCACUGGUGUACAGGA